UGGGGAAUAUUGGACAAUGGGGGGAACCCUGAUCCAGCCAUGCCGCGUGUGUGAAGAAGGCCUUAUGGUUGUAAAGCACUUUAAGUUGGGAGGAAGGGCAGUAAGCGAAUACCUUGCUGUUUUGACGUUACCGACAGAAUAAGCACCGGCUAACUCUGUGCCAGCAGCCGCGGUAAUACAGAGGGUGCAAGCGUUAAUCGGAAUUACUGGGCGUAAAGCACGCGUAGGUGGUUCGUUAAGUUGAAUGUGAAAGCCCCGGGCUCAACCUGGGAACUGCAUCCAAAACUGGCGAGCUAGAGUAGGGCAGAGGGUGGUGGAAUUUCCUGUGUAGCGGUGAAAUGCGUAGAUAUAGGAAGGAACACCAGUGGCGAAGGCGACCACCUGGGCUCAUACUGACACUGAGGUGCGAAAGCGUGGGGAGCAAACAGG
rnacentral:rRNA from 1 species